UCAGAAGUGCGAAUGCUGACAUAAGUAACGAUAAUGCGGGUGAAAAACCCGCACGCCGGAAGACCAAGGGUUCCUGUCCAACGUUAAUCGGGGCAGGGUGAGUCGACCCCUAAGGCGAGGCUGAAAAGCGUAGUCGAUGGGAAACAGGUUAAUAUUCCUGUACUUGGUGUUACUGCGAAGGGGGGACGGAGAAGGCUAGGCUAGCCGGGCGACGGUUGUCCCGGUUUAAGCAUGUAGGCGGAGUGACCAGGUAAAUCCGGUUGCUUAUCAACGCUGAGGUGUGAUGACGAUGCACUACGGUGCAGAAGUAGUUGAUGCCAUGCUUCCAGGAAAAGCCUCUAAGCAUCAGGUAACAUGAAAUCGUACCCCAAACCGACACAGGUGGUCAGGUAGAGAAUACUCAGGCGCUUGAGAGAACUCGGGUGAAGGAACUAGGCAAAAUGGUGCCGUAACUUCGGGAGAAGGCACGCUGGCAUUAGGUAAAGGGACUUGCUCCCGGCGCCGAAGCCAGUCGCAGAUACCAGCUGGCUGCAACUGUUUAAUAAAAACACAGCACUGUGCAAACACGAAAGUGGACGUAUACGGUGUGACGCCUGCCCGGUGCUGGAAGGUUAAUUGAUGGGGUCAGCCGCAAGGCGAAGCUCUUGAUCGAAGCCCCAGUAAACGGCGGCCGUAACUAUAACGGUCCUAAGGUAGCGAAAUUCCUUGUCGGGUAAGUUCCGACCUGCACGAAUGGCGUAAUGAUGGCCAGGCUGUCUCCACCCGAGACUCAGUGAAAUUGAACUCGCUGUGAAGAUGCAGUGUACCCGCGGCAAGACGGAAAGACCCCGUGAACCUUUACUAUAGCUUGACACUGAACAUUGAGCCUUGAUGUGUAGGAUAGGUGGGAGGCAUAGAAGUGUGGACGCCAGUCUGCAUGGAGCCAACCUUGAAAUACCACCCUUUAAUGUUUGAUGUUCUAACUCGGCCCCGUAAUCCGGGGUGAGGACAGUGUCUGGUGGGUAGUUUGACUGGGGCGGUCUCCUCCCAAAGAGUAACGGAGGAGCACGAAGGUUAGCUAAUCACGGUCGGACAUCGUGAGGUUAGUGCAAAGGCAUAAGCUAGCUUGACUGCGAGAGUGACGGCUCGAGCAGGUACGAAAGUAGGUCUUAGUGAUCCGGUGGUUCUGAAUGGAAGGGCCAUCGCUCAACGGAUAAAAGGUACUCCGGGGAUAACAGGCUGAUACCGCCCAAGAGUUCAUAUCGACGGCGGUGUUUGGCACCUCGAUGUCGGCUCAUCACAUCCUGGGGCUGAAGUAGGUCCCAAGGGUAUGGCUGUUCGCCAUUUAAAGUGGUACGCGAGCUGGGUUUAGAACGUCGUGAGACAGUUCGGUCCCUAUCUGCCGUGGGCGUUGGAAGAUUGAGAGGGGCUGCUC
rnacentral:rRNA from 1 species